rnacentral:rRNA from 1 species
AUUGAACGCUGGCGGCAUGCCUUACACAUGCAAGUCGAACGGCAGCAUGAUCUAGCUUGCUAGAUUGAUGGCGAGUGGCGAACGGGUGAGUAAUACAUCGGAACGUGCCCUGUAGUGGGGGAUAACUAGUCGAAAGAUUAGCUAAUACCGCAUACGACCUGAUGGUGAAAGUGGGGGACCGCAAGGCCUCAUGCUAUAGGAGCGGCCGAUGUCUGAUUAGCUAGUUGGUGAGGUAAAGGCUCACCAAGGCGACGAUCAGUAGCUGGUCUGAGAGGACGAUCAGCCACACUGGGACUGAGACACGGCCCAGACUCCUACGGGAGGCAGCAGUGGGGAAUUUUGGACAAUGGGCGAAAGCCUGAUCCAGCAAUGCCGCGUGUGUGAAGAAGGCCUUCGGGUUGUAAAGCACUUUUGUCCGGAAAGAAAUGGCUCUGGUUAAUACCUGGGGUCGAUGACGGUACCGGAAGAAUAAGGACCGGCUAACUACGUG